rnacentral:rRNA from 1 species
GACGAACGCUGGCGGCGUGCUUAACACAUGCAAGUCGAACGAAGGGCGAUGGAAGCUUGCUUCUAUCAAUCUUAGUGGCGAACGGGUGAGUAACGCGUAAUCAACCUGCCCUUCAGAGGGGGACAACAGUUGGAAACGACUGCUAAUACCGCAUACGAUCUGACCUCGGCAUCGAGGAUAGAUGAAAGGUGGCCUCUACAUGUAAGCUAUCACUGAAGGAGGGGAUUGCGUCUGAUUAGCUAGUUGGAGGGGUAACGGCCCACCAAGGCGAUGAUCAGUAGCCGGUCUGAGAGGAUGAACGGCCACAUUGGGACUGAGACACGGCCCAGACUCCUACGGGAGGCAGCAGUGGGGAAUCUUCCGCAAUGGACGAAAGUCUGACGGAGCAACGCCGCGUGAGUGAUGACGGCCUUCGGGUUGUAAAGCUCUGUUAAUCGGGACGAAAGGCCUUUUUGCGAAUAGUGAGAAGGAUUGACGGUACCGGAAUAGAAAGCCACGGCUAACUACGUG